rnacentral:rRNA from 1 species
GUAGGUGGCAAGCGUUGUCCGGAAUUAUUGGGCGUAAAGCGCGCGCAGGCGGUUCUCUAAGUCUGAUGUGAAAGCCCACGGCUCAACCGUGGAGGGUCAUUGGAAACUGGAGAACUUGAGUACAGAAGAGGAAAGCGGAAUUCCACGUGUAGCGGUGAAAUGCGUAGAGAUGUGGAGGAACACCAGUGGCGAAGGCGGCUUUCUGGUCUGUAACUGACGCUGAGGCGCGAAAGCGUGGGGGGAGCAAACAGGAUUAGAUACCCUGGUAGUCCACGCCGUAAACGAUGAGUGCUAAGUGUUAGGGGGUUUCCGCCCCCCCCUUAGUGCUGCAGCUAACGCAUUAAGCACUCCGCCUGGGGAGUACGGCCGCAAGGCUG